GGAAUUUCUUCUUCGUCUAUUGUUGUUCUCUCCAACCUUUUUUCUUGUAGCUUUAAGCUUGCAUGGUUUUCAUGGCUUCAUAGCUCUUGCUGACCAUGCCACAUGCUCUGCAAGAGCUAAGAAAACACAGGCAUAGAGUACGGAAUUUGAAUCUUGGGAAAUUUUUCUUAUGACUACUUGAAAAAUCAAAAAGAUGCAUUUGGAUGAAGUUUUAACUUUGUAUUUCAAACCUACCAUUGAUGAAAGCCUCUGCCAUCAUUGUCAUUGCCAAUCGUUAGAGCUGCAUAACUUUGAAACUUCAAAGCAGCACUUCCCAAAGAAUCCAAAAAGAAAGAAUAUGAAC
rnacentral:lncRNA from 1 species